rnacentral:rRNA from 1 species
UCGACGGUGAGGGAUGAAAGCUGGGGGAGCAAACCGGAUUAGAUACCCGGGUAGUCCCAGCUGUAAACGAUGCAAACUCGAUGAUGCGUUGGCUUAUUGCUAGCGCAGUGUCGCAGGGAAGCCGUUAAGUUUGCCGCCUGGGAAGUACGUACGCAAGUAUGAAACUUAAAGGAAUUGGCGGGGGAGCACCACAAGGGGUGAAGCCUGCGGUUCAAUUGGAGUCAACGCCUGAAACCUUACCCGGAGAGACAGCAGAAUGAAGGUCAAGCUGAAGACUUUACCAGACAAGCUGAGAGGUGGUGCAUGGCCGUCGCCAGCUCGUGCCGUGAGAUGUCCUGUUAAGUCAGGUAACGAGCGAGAUCCCUGCCUCUAGUUGCCACUAUUACACCCUGGUGUAGUAGGGCGAAUUAGGGGGACCGCCGCAGUUAAUGCGGAGGAAGGAAGGGGCCACGGCAGGUCAGUAUGCCCCGAAACUCUGGGGCCACACGCGGGCUGCAAUGGUAGCGACAAUGAGUUCCAAAAUCGAAAGAUAGAGGUAAUCCCUAAACGCUACCACAGUUGUGAUUGAGGGCUGCAACUCGCCCUCAUGAACAUGGAAUCCCUAGUAACCGCGUGUCAUUAUCGCGCAGUGAAUACGUCCCUGCUCCUUGCACUCACCGCCCGU